rnacentral:rRNA from 1 species
GACGAACCGUGCGAACGUUGUUCGGAAUCACUGGGCUUAAAGGGCGCGUAGGCGGUCUGCCAAGUCGGUGGUGAAAUCUUUCGGCUUAACCGGAAAAGUGCCAACGAUACUGGCGGACUUGAGGGAGGUAGGGGCAGAUGGAACUUCCGGUGGAGCGGUGAAAUGUGUUGAUAUCGGAAGGAACGCCGGUGGCGAAAGCGAUCUGCUGGACCUCUACUGACGCUGAGGCGCGAAAGCCAGGGGAGCAAACGGGAUUAGAAACCCCAGUAGUCC